GUCUAAUUAGCUCAGUUGGUAGAGCAACUGACUCUUAAUCAGUGGGCCCAGGGUUCGAGUCCCUGAUUGGACACCA
rnacentral:tRNA from 1 species